rnacentral:rRNA from 1 species
UGAGGAAUAUUGGACAAUGGGCGCAAGCCUGAUCCAGCCAUGCCGCGUGCAGGAUGACGGUCCUAUGGAUUGUAAACUGCUUUUAUACGGGAAGAAACCACCCCUCGUGAGGGGUACUGACGGUACCGUAAGAAUAAGGAUCGGCUAACUCCGUGCCAGCAGCCGCGGUAAUACGGAGGAUCCAAGCGUUAUCCGGAAUCAUUGGGUUUAAAGGGUCCGUAGGCGGAUUUGUAAGUCAGUGGUGAAAUCUCCCGGCUCAACCGGGAAAUGGCCAUUGAUACUGCAAGUCUUGAAUUAUUAGGAAGUAACUAGAAUAUGUAGUGUAGCGGUGAAAUGCUUAGAUAUUACAUGGAAUACCGAUUGCGAAGGCAGGUUACUACUAAUAUAUUGACGCUGAUGGACGAAAGCGUGGGUAGCGAACAG